AAAAGGUUUUAAAUACAGGAGUAGGUGGGGAGUUAGUUUUGUAAUGGGUACAGAGGUUUAGUCAAGGAAGAUGAAAAAGUUCUAGAGAUGGAUGUGAUGGCGGUGGCUCAAAAAUGUGAAUGUCCUUAAUACCACAGAACUGCACACUUAAAAUGGCUAAAAGCAUAAGUUUCAUAAUUUUGUACACUACAAAUAUAUUCUAGACAAUCUGGGACAGAAAUAAAGUCAAGGUUGCUUUCACCAAUGUUGCCUUAGAUGGUAUUGUAGUCAGCAGUUAAGAUGGGGCCAGUGAUCCUCACAUCCUAGUAUAUUCUCCCCUGUGUUGUCCCAUCCCACAGUGGAUAGGGCUGACCCAAGUAACCAACAGCAUACAGCAGAAAUGACCUUCCAAGGCCAGCUCAUAAAAGACAUUGCAGCUUCUAAAUGGUUUUCUCUUACAUCUCUUGCUCUGAGGGAAGUGAGCCGCCACACUGUGAAAACAUUCAUGCAGCCUAUGGAGAGGUCCAGGGGUGAGAAAGUGAGGCCUCUGGGCAACCUGCCAACCCACUGGGGAGCCACCCAGAAAGCAGAUCCUCCGGCAGCCCCAUCCAACAUCUGGACUGCAACCUCGUGACAGAGCCUAAGCCAGAACCACGCGGUUACCACUUUCCUCACCCACAGAAAUUGGUGACAGAUGAGGCAGAGCUUGAUGAGAAAUCUAUUGCAAAUGAAAAGUAAUCUUGGAUUACAGUCAAGUAGAGCAAGGCUCCUGCCAGCCUGUAGGUUCACACCACAAAGUAGCCCCUGUUCGAGUCAACAGGCUGGUCUACACAGGUAAAGCUGGUCUGUACAGGUGCGGAGGACCAAACUAAAGCUUCCGGCCACACCAGCACAUCUCUUAAUGCACAAUCUGAGGUUUUUAGCAGAACUGAAUAUCUUUCCCAGAUAUUUGAUAUCUUGUUUAUUCAACUUGCUGAAGU